UACAUCUGUGACUUGUACUGACUUUCUCCUCUAAAAUUUUCCCUCUCUCUUACUGAUUAAGGUUUGCUGCCUAUGAAGACGAGUCUUGGUUUGCAAUAACAUACUGGGAAAAGCAGAAUUAAUUUCCCAACCUGGCAUUGCAGGAUAUUGUGAUGAGAAACACGAGUUUCAUUUGAAUUUUGUCUGCUGCUUUGCAUGUUUGGCUGAAAGACUCAGAAGUGACGAGUUUUUUAUUCAAAUAACACAGAACAAGGCUGGCAGGCUCUACAGGCCUUUCCAAGUCACCCAUCUCGAGCAGGAAAAAAACUUGUGAAGAUUAAACACCUCUAAGCGAAUUGGAGGCAAGGUGAUGAAAUGGAAAAUACAUAUGAAUGAGAAAAUGAUCAGAGAGACUGAAAGGUAAGUCAGUGACACAAAUUGUUAUUUCCACAAGCUGUUAGAUAAGGCAGAGCCAAGAAAGCAGGUAAUAAAACUAGACCAAAAUGGAACAACAGGAGAUUAUUGACAUAUGAUCUAAAUUAAAAUAUCUUGUGUUACUGAAAACAGUUUUUCAUUUUUUAAGCAUUCAGUUUUUGCCACUUUCAAAAAUUAAUAACAGUUUCCUACUGUCUUCAAAAGAAUUUAACACUUAAAUGUCUGUAUAUUAUUAUUUCAUAUUCUGUCUCUUGUAAACAGAUCAGAAUAGAAUCAAUUUUGUGCUUUCAAUAUCUGUAUUGCUAAUUCUAUUCUUCAUGAGUCACAAUACUACUUAUUACUUUUUUCUUUCUAAACUUGGAGAAUUUUGUGUGCAGUGGUAGUAGCAAAAAAAAGACUGAAAAAUGUUAAAAUAAUUAUGUGUGUUAAAGUCUUACUAGAUAAUGCCCUGUCACACCUUAUAUCCACAGCACACAGCUCUACUCUCAUGAGAUUUAACACAAUGACUCUCAGACUUCAGUAUGUAUGCUUUGGAUACAAUCUCUGAAGAUUAAUAAAGCUCAGUGAAAUAUUUACCUUAAUUGCACUUCAGCCUCUUUCUUUUAAUCAUAUUUAAUAGAUCCAACAGCAAGUGCUGCUUUCCACUAGUGGUGCUCUCAUUAGCACACUAUUGGAAAUAAAACUGGAAGAUGAGGGUUAGCCCCUAAAGCAGCAGAGGAUUUAAGGUAAUGUUUCCAGGGUUUUACACAGGAUGUUCCCAUAACCCUGGCAAUAAAAGCUAUAGCAGAGAAUCACUGAGGUUGGCACAGAGUUCUGCAGACUGUAUAGUCUGAUAUCCCUGCUCAGAGCAGGAGCAACCAGGGCAUGUUCCUGCACGUUGUCCAGCUGGAUUUUGAGUAUUUUUAAGGAGACAUCAUGACCUCUUUGGGCAGCUUGCUCCACUGUUUGACCACUCUUGUCUUAAAGAAGUUUGGUUGGGGUUUUUUUCCCAUUACAUUUAAACAGAGUGUUUUGUAUUUCACUUUCUUGUGUUACAGAAGCUUCUUGUGUGAGAGAUGUUUCAAGCACCUGAAUGGAGUGAAAAACUCAGUAGUGUCAUUGGGAGCUUGUAACCUUCAAGCAACACAAGUCACCCAGGAAUUCUGUAAGAGUUGUAGUGCUUUAGAAAGGUAAACUUCAGGCCAGGCUCAUCUCCUGUUCUCAGAUCCUGUCAGCAUUAAAAUUGAGGAAGAGAAGAUUUUUCAGGACGGGAAGUAUUCAACCAUAACACACAGAAAUUCAGAGCUCCAGCAGGUGUUUGUUGAGAAGCAUGUGCAAUCUUAGAAACCUAAAAAUUCCAAAAUGCUGUGGAAAUUGGGUGGACUGAUGCUGAAAUUCUCCCCUGUACGGUAAAUCAUGAAGAACCUAUGGCUGCUUGCCCAGAGGCAGAAUCUCAUCUGUGUUUGUGAUAACAGAUAGCUCCUUCAAGCAGGCUCUUUGAACAUACAGAAGGAAAGGGUCCAGUAAAUUCCUGAAACUCUGUUUUAAAGCAAAUGUUCAUCUAAAUUUAUCCAUUGCAAAGUGCAAACCUUUAAAAGUGAUGCUUUGGAAGUUGCAGUCUGUGAGCAGUUCUGGCAGAGGUUCUCCAAUUCCAGCACAGAAUCAAGAUGCUUCUGAAUUAAGCAUCAAGAGCAAAUACUUGCUGAAGGAAAAAUGAAUCCAAUAAAAAGCCAGGAUGUGAUACUGGAUGAUGUGUCCACCUGGCAGCCAUGCUCUGGGCACUCUGAAACCGCUCUAUAAAUGGACAGGUAGAAAUAAUCAUAAAUAUGAAUCAAAAUUUAAUAUCAAUGAAUGCUAGUAGGCAAUUAUUGCUGGCCAAGAUAGUAACAUUUUUCAGCUGUGGUUUUCAUCAAAAUGGUCUGUGGGGUUAUAAGUACAUUCGUUGUAGUGAUUAACAGUGAGAUAUGAAACCUUCUGAUGUGUUGCCCUCGUUUGCAGGGAAUUGUCUGUUUUCUCAGAAAAACAGACAAUUGAUAGAAAGAAAUGGACAAAGAAGAAAACUAAAAAUUUUGAAUGUUUCUUGAAAAGCCUUAAAAAUUCCAACAAAAUAUCUGAACAAUACAAGAAUUAGUUUAAAUUGUUUUUAAAUGGGUACCUUUUUUCAUUUCCCUCUAGAUAACUUUAUUUCAUCAGGCAGUAUUAAUCCUGUGUUAAUGCAAUAUUCAGGAGAGAUAAAUCAUGUCUCUGUUCUGUUUCAGAUGUCAUUCAAAUAGCAAAAAGCAUUUGGUAAUCUAUAAGAGCUGAAUAUUUGCAGGCUGCUGGUAACUGCUGACAAAUGACACCAAUCACUUCCU